rnacentral:hammerhead_ribozyme from 1 species
AUCCAGCUGACGAGUCCAAAACUGAACGAAACGCUCCUCUUGGAU